rnacentral:rRNA from 1 species
CUACGGGUCGCUGCAGGCGGGAAACCUUUACAAUGCGCGCAAGCGCGAUAAGGGAACUCAGAGUGCUCAAGUUUAUGCUUGGGCUUUUUCUAAGAGUAAAUAUCUUAGAGAAUAAGUGGUGGGCAAGACCGGUGCCAGCCGCCGCGGUUAUACCGGCGCCACAAGUGGGAAUCGCAUUUAUUGGGCCUAAAGCGUCCGUAGCAGGCUUGAAAAGUUUCUUGUGAAAUCGUGUCGCUCAACGUCACGGCAUGCAAGAAAAACUCUCAGGCUAGAAACCGGAAGAGGUAAGAGGUAUUUCUGGGCCAGCGGUGAAAUGUUUUGAUCCCAGAAGGACCGCCAACGGCGAAGGCAUCUUACUAGUACGGGUUUGACUGUGAGGGACGAAAGCCAGGGGAGCAAACCGGAUUAGAUACCCCGGUAGUC